UGUUCUGUGAUUUAGUUGGUUAAAGCGCCGGUCUAGCGAUACGGAGUCGUGGGUUCGAAUCCCACCAAAACAA
rfam:Aedes albopictus isolate Foshan contig111532, whole genome shotgun sequence.